GAGUUUUGUUAUUUCCUGAAUAGUUUUAAUGUUUUGAAAAUGUAUUUCUUCCAUACUUAAAUUCUUUGUGAUUGUAAUAUUAAUAACCUUAACUGGAUUUAGUUAUAAUUUUAUUGUGAGGGGCUUACGAUGUCUAUAGACUAAUGCCGGUAUUCUGCUUGUCACGAUUGUCUCAUGUCUCUAAUUGAGACAAUUGUAAUUUAGUGACUCUGUUAGUCAGGAUGUCUCAUUUUGGUAUUCUGGCAGAUUCAGUCUCAAAAAUAUUCACCAAAUUGUAUGGUGAAAAGAAGGGCAGCAAUCAGCUGUUUAGUUUAGCUGAUUAGAGAUGAGUGCAAGUGCAAAAUCGUAAUGCAUUAAACGAUUGCAUGCAAUUACUUUUUUUCAUAAAAUCAGCAGUAAAACUUCUUCUUAAUAAUUGCACAGUACAAUUAUUGAAAACUGAUACUGAAAUAGUUUAUAAUAAAUGCUUAUCAUAUGCAUUUCAUCUGAAUCAAUUGUUAAAUAAAUAUGAAAAAAUUUAACAACAGAGUUAUCGAUUAACACAUGUGUUCAUCCUUAUAUUUGAUAAUAAUAGAAAAGGAAGAUCAAAAUAAAGUGUUGCGCACCGCGAAGGAGCAGAUAGAGCUAUCUCAACUUUGUGCGGGUUCACCCGGAGAUAAAGCUGCAUAAAAACGACCCAUCGCGGCCGAAAAGAAUGGAGCAGCUUUGGGCCGAACUCUCCGUGCAAUCAAAUGCCCGAAAAGGGCCCACUCGGAACCCCAUAAAAUGGAGAGAGAAUCUGAGCCAUUGGAAAAACCAAAUAAGAUCACUUUCAAGGAAAGUAUCAACAAUUGAGCUCUCUGAAACGGAGCAGAGAGCUUUCGAUACGUUGGGGUCAAUCGCUGUUGAUGGGUUGGCUGAUGUACCAGCCAUUGGCACAGAGCUAAGAAUAACAAGAAAGGCCAAUACGAGUGUGCAGAAUUUAUAAUUGUUUUUUCUUUUUCUAAUUUAGGAAGAAGUAGUAUUCACAGCUGCACCAUCGCCCCUGAAUACGACUUCGGAUGCGUCCAAUGACUGCACUACGUCAUCGUCCCGUGGCAAAAAAUUGACGACGGACGAAAUGUUCCGAAAUUAUAUGGAUUUAAUGAAAGGGAAAGCCGAGGAGGAAAGAGAGUUCCGGAUUAAAACUUUAGAUUCCAUUAACAAACACACGGAGUCUAUUAAUAAUUUAGGGGCAGCGAUGGUGUCGCUUGCUCAGACUAUUGUGAAAAACACAGAAGAUUGUGCAAAAAAGUGAAUAUAUAUGUAUUAUUUUAUUGUUAUGUUUAUUUAUUUUUUAAAUGAAUUUUGAAUUGAAUUA